CACUUGGCCCUUUUAAGGGCCACCAUAUAUUUGUAACGUCGGAAGAU
rfam:Lasius niger Lnig_2.1_11977, whole genome shotgun sequence.